rnacentral:rRNA from 1 species
AUGGCAGCCAUCUCCGAGGCCUGGGAGAUGCACAUCUUCCUGAGGGCCUGCUUCAAGCUCACAGACUCCACGAUCUCCGAGCUCGACAUGGGCGCCUUCCCAAGCGCAAUAAGCCUCUUGUCCGUGCUCGUCUGCCCAGAAGCCCGCGCCGAGGUGCGCACAUUGAAGGAUCUGAGGAGCCGGUCGAGGUCAUCCUCGACCGAGCACGACCGGCCCCCAUGCUCCUGCCCCACCGGCUUCACCCUCACCCUCAGGUGGGUGACCCCGCCCGGACGGGCGUCUUUGGUCUCAUCCACCAGCUCGACUAUCUCCGGGCACCCUGAAGAACCCAUCCUCUCCAGCACUCCCACCGCCUCCAGAAAUGCUCCCUCCUAG